ACCAGGGGAGAGACCAGGGGGGAGACCAGGGGGGAGACCAGGGGAGAGACCAGGGGAGAGACCAGGGGAGAGACCAGCGCAGAACCAGUCCCACUGAACUGUGGUGGGGUGGGGCCGUGUCUAGUGAGACCUGAGGCCAAGCAGAAGGAUUUCCUGUGCUCUGGUGCAGUCUUGCAGCCUUGGAUGAUUCAAGCAAUUACAGCUAAACACAGCACCCUAGCUAGGCACAGCUCAACACAGCUAAGCACAGUUCCCUGGCUGGGCACAAGGACCCCUCUCAUGACCUCCACACUCGGUUGGCCUCAGUCUCUCUCAGUAAAUCCUCACCCUGUUCUGUGUUGAGCAUACAACCACAUCCUCACCCUGUAUCCUGUUGGCCUGUACCGGGGCUGACCCAGACGGCACAGUUCAGAGAUACACUUUCAUCUAACGGUUCAGUCCAGACAUCAGGCACGUGAACAGACUGAUUUAGAACAGCCAGUCCUCUGGUGGGUGACUGCUGCCCGUUUGAACAUGCAGGGAAGAGGGACAGAGCGCCUACUCUUCCUCAUUAGGCUUCCUGUCCCGCUCACUCAGUCUGUAAUCUCUUAAUCUGGUUGGCUAAUCCCGAGCAGGUAUUUGAUUUGUCCUUUCUUUGAAAGACACAUGGAACCUGGCCAGCACACCAUGCCAGAUUGGGACGCUAACCCUAACCACUGCACUGACCCGCUCAUGUCUUCAGCACACUGACUACACUGUGUAAUCAAGUGAGAAUAUAGGACAGUUUACAACACUGUACACCGGUACAUGUGUGUUGGUGUACUUUCAAAUUUAUUUUACUUUCCACGUGCAAAGAUUUCUACUAAGACAUUCCCUUUUUCAACCAAAGAUGCUCAUGAGAGUUAUGACUGCAUGAUGUCCUGGUUCUGGUCCUGGUCCUAGUUCUGGUCCUAGUUCUGGUUCUGGUUCUGGUCCUAGUCCUGGUCCUGGUCCUGGUCCUAGUUCUGGUCUUGGUCCUAGUUCUGGUUCUGGUUCUGUCCUGGCCCUGGUUCUGGUUCUGGUUCUGGUCCUGGUCCAACAACACUGGUCUCUGGGGUGGCACCUAGACGUUCCAGGGGAAUCUUAGACCUUGUGUCGUUACUGUCAUUAGCAGUUGUAUUAAUUAGUAACACAUAGAAGGAGCAGGUUUGAUGACAUCAGUGCCUCCUGGUGGACAGAAUCGGUUUUGCUCCAGCGUCACAGAAUGAUCAUUAUCGUCUCCAGUCAUCUGUUUUUCUAUGAUCGUUUGGAGAUGUCUUCAAAAAGCAAUAUAUUUACUUCCUGUGUGGCUGUAUGACGUAUUUAAUCCUGGAAUGGCUGUAACACAUGAAUAGAGUCAUAAAUCACAGAGAGAGUGAGAGAGAAAGACUGAACAUGUAAAUAAGAUGUUCGCAUAAAGAUAUUAUACAGAUUUUUGCCAACGCCCAUUUUCAAGACUGACCAACAGAUUACUAAGCAUAUUGGUUUUAUUUAAAAAGAAAGAGAUCAAGUAUUUUUAAUGUUAUUUUGUUGUAAAGAGGAAAUCAUAUUUUAGCUUGGAUUGUAUAAAUGCAUCCAGACAGCAUACUGGGUCACCAGUAAUCUCAAUAAUUGUGUAAGAAUUUAAGAUGGUUCAACACUAAAUACUUUUUGAAUGUAGAUAAUUAUUUAUUCUUUUGGUUACAACCAAGCCAUUUGCAGUAUUGAGUGUUUGCAGUGGUGCAAUUUUAGCUCUAGUCACAGGUGACUAGACGACACCUAAAAUAGGUGGGUGUAUGUUUAAGAUCCGUAAACUGAAGAGUAAAAAAUGGGAUUUGACCCUAUAGAGAGCUACACUCUCACAUGACCUCCACGUUCAACCAGAACUGGCAAAAGUUUGAGCAUUUCUCAAAGGUUUUUGGUCUAAUUCUGAUUAUAUUCUAAUAACUGAUGUUAAUGCUACCUAAUUAAACACAUGGAUUCAGAAGAUUACGAAAAAACACAAGAAAGUGAUACGAGACAGAAAUCAGUUUGGGACAGUCUUUCACCUUAAAUAUAAAUGGUUGAUAAUUCUAUUCUCUUGAAAUCUUAAGUUGUUGCUGUUUCUGUAUGUUUACUUUUUGGGUUGUUUUUGCUCAUGUUCAUGUAAAAAACAAUAGAGAAAUCAAUAAAGGUGAUUGGAAGGAU